rfam:Schistosoma mansoni, Puerto Rico, WGS project CABG01000000 data, contig: 0125
AUCGAUCUGACGAGUCCCAAAUAGUACAAAACGCGCGUCCUUGAU